rnacentral:misc_RNA from 1 species
AACGCACAUUGCGCCCUGUGGUAUUCCGCAGAGCAUGCCUGUUCGAGCGUCAUUACAACCACUCAAGCCUGGCUUGGUAUUGGGGUCUGCGGUUCCGCAGCCCCUAAAAUCAGUGGCGGUGCCGGUGUGGCUCUACGCGUAGUAAUUCUUCUCGCGAUGGAGUUCCCCUGGAUACCUGCCAGAACCCCCCAAUUUUUACAGGUUGACCUCGGAUCAGGUAGGGAUACCCGCUGAACUUAA